UCGUCUUUUGCCAUGCUCGAUCACGCAGCUCGCGCCUCCGUGUGCUGAUCUUGAGCCGGAUGCUCGCGGCCUUUGGCUGCAAGUACAAGACAAGAGUGAAUCCCAGGCAACGCUUUUUGAGUACGGAACCUUCCAGUGUCUAUUUUAGCGUAUGAAGGCUUUCGUAAUUUAUCAGUUGUCACAUUU
rnacentral:snoRNA from 1 species